rnacentral:rRNA from 1 species
CAACAUUGAUUGCCAGUAGUCAUAUGCUUGUCUCAAAGAUUAAGCCAUGCAAGUCUCAGUACAAGCCACAUUAAGGUGAAACCGCAAAAGGCUCAUUAAAUCAGUUAUGGUUCCUUGGAUCGUACAAUCCAUUACUUGGAUAACUGUGGUAAUUCUAGAGCUAAUACAUGCAAACAGAGUCCCGACCAGAAAUGGAAGGGGCGCUUUUAUUAGAUCAAAACCAAUCGACGUCAGUUGGCUUGCCCAACUGCGCCGUACUCCUUGGUGACUCUGAAUAACUUUUGGCAGAUCGCACGGUCUCAGUACCGGCGACGCAUCCUUCAAAUGUCUGCCUUAUCAACUGUCGAUGGUAGGUUCUGCGCCUACCAUGGUUGUAACGGGUAACGGGGAAUCAGGGUUCGAUUCCGGAGAGGGAGCCUGAGAAACGGCUACCACAUCCAAGGAAGGCAGCAGGCGCGCAAAUUACCCACUCCCGGCACGGGGAGGUAGUGACGAAAAAUAACGAUACGGGACUCAUCCGAGGCCCCGUAAUCGGAAUGAGUAUACUCUAAAUCCUUGUACAAGUAUCAAUUGGAGGGCAAGUCCGGUGCCAGCAGCCGCGGUAAUUCCAGCUCCAAUAGCGUAUAUUAAAGUUGUUGCGGUUAAAAAGCUCGUAGUUGGAUCUGUGUCCUUCGACGCCGGUUCACCGCAUGUCGGUGCCAACUGGCGUUUUGCGGGACGUCUUGUCGGUGGUGUGCCAGGGAUCUUUGUUGUGCUGGGCUUUGCCCUAGUGCAGCUCUGGUUUCGGGCCACUUUCAUAAUCCCGCCGCGGUGCUCUUAAUCGGGUGUCGAGGCGGGCCGGCACGUUUACUUUGAACAAAUUAGAGUGCUUAAAGCAGGCUUGUCACGCCUGUAUACUGUGUGCAUGGAAUAAUGGAAUAGGACCUCGGUUCUAUUUUGUUGGUUUCCGGAAUCUGAGGUAAUGAUCAAUGGGGACAGGCGGGGGCAUUCGUAUUGCGACGUUAGAGGUGAAAUUCUUGGAUCGUCGCAAGACGGACCGAAGCGAAAGCAUUUGCCAAGUAUGUUCCCGUCGAUCAAGAACGAAAGUUAGAGGUUCGAAGGCGAUCAGAUACCGCCCUAGUUCUAACCAUAAACAAUGCCUGCCAGCGAUCCGCCGGCGUCUUUUCCGAUGACCCGGCGGGCAGCUUCCGGGAAACCAGAGCUUUUGGGUUCCGGGGGAAGUAUGGUUGCAAAGCUGAAACUUAAAGGAAUUGACGGAAGGGCACCACCAGGAGUGGAGCCUGCGGCUUAAUUUGACUCAACACGGGAAAACUCACCAGGCCCGGACACCGGAAGGAUUGACAGAUUGAUAGCUCUUUCUUGAUUCGGUGNUGGUGGAGCGAUUUGUCUGGUUAAUUCCGAUAACGAACGAGACUCUAGCCUACUAACUAGACGUAUCUGGUAUCAGCAAUCGUGCUACCAGCGAUCAUAUCUCUUCUUAGAGGGACAGGCGGCUUCUAGCCGCACGAGACUGAGCAAUAACAGGUCUGUGAUGCCCUUAGAUGUCCUGGGCCGCACGCGCGCUACACUGAAGGAAUCAGCGUGUCUUCCCUGUCCGAAAGGACCGGGUAACCCGCUGAACCUCCUUCGUGCUUGGGAUUGGGGCUUGCAAUUAUUCCCCAUGAACGAGGAAUUCCCAGUAAGCGCGAGUCAUAAGCUCGCGUUGAUUACGUCCCUGCCCUUUGUACACACCGCCCGUCGCUACUACCGAUUGAAUGAUUUAGUGAGGUCUUCGGACCGGUGCGCGGAGGCGGUUUACCGCUCCCGAUGUUGUCGGAAAGAUGACCAAACUUGAUCAUUUAGAGGAAGUAAAAGUCGUAACAAGGUUUCCGUAGGUGAACCUGCGGAAG